ensembl:lncRNA
UUUUCUCCCGCUUGGUUUGCAGGUUGCGGAGAGUGACAGCAAUGAGGAAAAAAGAUGUCAGGUAUGCCCUCAGCAAGCUGCAGCGCAUGCUAACAAGGCCCUGAGGUGGAUGGAGAUGUACAGGCUGCACCAGCAGCAGAGAUUAGUUGGAACCCCCUUCAUGCCAGUUACUGAUGCUCCUGUUGAUGCUGCACCAGUCCAGGCUGCUGGCGUCCCUCCUGCUGCUGCCCAAGCUGUCGGAGACGCAUCGGAGGAGGAGACAGAGGCUGGCAACCCUGCACCCAAAGACGCCGUCCCCCUAAGCUCUGAUGAGGUCGAGGAGGCCGAGGAGGUUGAGGAGGUUGAGGAGGUGGAGGCAGCUGAGGCUGAACCUGCAGCAGCUGUUGAGCUGGCCGUGGUUGACGCCCCAGUGGACGCUGCAGCCGCUGAAGCUACAGUUGUGGACGUGCCUCCUGUUGACGCGGUUCUCGUUGACGCUGUCCCUGCAGCCCCUGAGGUGGCUGUUGAUGCGGCCGCCCCGGCCGCUGCUGACGUCCCUGUUGCUGCUACUGCUGAUGCCGCUGCCGUUGAUGCCGCUGCUGCCGUCCCUGCUGCUGCCGGUAUCGUUGAUGCCGCUGCCGUUGAUGUCGUUGCCGUUGAUGCCACUGAUGCCGGUGUUGUUGAUGCCGUUGAUGCCGGUGCCGCUGAUGCCGCUGCUGCUGAUGCCGCUGCUGCCUCACUGGCAGCUGAGAUUGACACAACUGGAGUGGCAGCAGAUCCUGUUGCAGUGUAGUUCCUUCUUGUCAUCCCCAGCCUCUUUUCCUAGCAGUGGAAACAGCCACUGUGUGUGUGUGUGUGUGUGUGUGUGCAGUGCAAAAGUAAGCUGUGUCACAUUGAUUCAUCAAGAAUGAACAACAAGUUGUGUGUUUUUAGUUAAGAAUUGGAC